AUAAAGAAAAGAGACAAUAGACAUUAAAGGGGUCAGAGGAGUUCAACACUUUAGUGAAGCAGUGCGUGUGUGUGUGCGUGAGUACCCAGGGGUCAGAGGAGAUGAGGUGGUGUGUGUGUGUGCGUGAGUACCCAGGGGUCAGAGGAGAUGAGGUGGUGUGUGUGUGUGCGUGAGUACCCAGGGGUCAGAGGAGAUGAGGUGGUGUGUGUGUGUGCGUGAGUACCCAGGGGUCAGAGGAGAUGAGGUGGUGUGUGUGUGUGCGUGAGUACCCAGGGGUCAGAGGAGAUGAGGUGGUGUGUGUGUGUGCGUGAGUACCCAGGGGUCAGAGGAGAUGAGGUGGUGUGUGUGUGUGUGUGCGUGAGUACCCAGGGGUCAGAGGAGAUGAGGUGGUGUGUGUGUGUGCGUGAGUACCCAGGGGUCAGAGGAGAUGAGGUGGUGUGUGUGUGUGUGUGCGUGAGUACCCAGGGGUCAGAGGAGAUGAGGUGGUGUGUGUGUGUGUGUGCGUGAGUACCCAGGGGUCAGAGGAGAUGAGGUGGUGUGUGUGUGUGUGUGCGUGAGUACCCAGGGGUCAGAGGAGACGAGGUGGUGUGUGUGUGUGCGUGAGUACCCAGGGGUCAGAGGAGACGAGGUGGUGUGUGUGUGUGUGUGCGUGAGUACCCAGGGGUCAGAGGAGAUGAGGUGGUGUGUGUGUGUGCGUGAGUACCCAGGGGUCAGAGGAGAUGAGGUGGUGUGUGUGUGUGCGUGAGUACCCAGGGGUCAGAGGAGAUGAGGUGGUGUGUGUGUGUGUGUGCGUGAGUACCCAGGGGUCAGAGGAGAUGAGGUGGUGUGUGUGUGUGUGUGCGUGAGUACCCAGGGGUCAGAGGAGACGAGGUGGUGUGUGUGUGUGCGUGAGUACCCAGGGGUCAGAGGAGACGAGGUGGUGUGUGUGUGUGUGUGCGUGAGUACCCAGGGGUCAGAGGAGAUGAGGUGGUGUGUGUGUGUGUGUGUGUACCCAGGGGUCAGAGGAGACGAGGGGGUGUGUGUGUGUGUGUGCGUACCCAGGGGUCAGAGGAGACGAGGCGGUGUGUGUGAGUGUGUGUGUGCGUACCCAGGGGUCAGAGGAGACGAGGCGGUGUGUGUGUGUGUGUGUGUGUGUGCAUACCCAGGGGUCAGAGGAGAUGAGGCGGUGUGUGUGUGUGUGUGUGCGUACCCAGGGGUCAGAGGAGAUGAGGCGGUGUGUGUGUGUGUGUGUGCGUACCCAGGGGUCAGAGGAGAUGAGGCGGUGUGUGUGUGUGUGCGUACCCAGGGGUCAGAGGAGAUGAGGCGGUGUGUGUGUGUGUGUGUGUGCGUACCCAGGGGUCAGAGGAGAUGAGGCGGUGUGUGUGUGUGUGUGUGUGCGUACCCAGGGGUCAGAGGAGACGAGGCGGUGUGUGUGUGUGUGUGUGUGCGUACCCAGGGGUCAGAGGAGACGAGGUGGUGUGUGUGUGUGUGCGUGAGUACCCAGGGGUCAGAGGAGACGAGGCGGUGUGUGUGUGUGUGCCUGUGUGCAUGAGUCCUCAGGGUUCAGAGGAGACGAGGUGGUGUGUGUGUGUGUGCGUGAGUACCCAGGGGUCAGAGGAGACGAGGCGGUGUGUGUGUGUGUGCCUGUGUGCAUGAGUCCUCAGGGUUCAGAGGAGACGAGGUGGUGUGUGUGUGUGUGCGUACCCAGGGGUCAGAGGAGAUGAGGUGGUGUGUGUGUGUGUGUGUGUACCCAGGGGUCAGAGGAGACGAGGCGGUGUGUGUGAGUGUGUGCGUACCCAGGGGUCAGAGGAGACGAGGAGGUGUGUGUGUGUGUGUGUGUGUGCAUACCCAGGGGUCAGAGGAGAUGAGGCGGUGUGUGUGUGUGUGUGUGUGUGUGCGUACCCAGGGGUCAGAGGAGAUGAGGCGGUGUGUGUGUGUGUG